rnacentral:rRNA from 1 species
UACGUAGGGGGCUAGCGUUGUCCGGAAUUACUGGGCGUAAAGGGCUCGUAGGCGGCCAACUAAGUCAUACGUGAAAUCCCUCAGCUUAACUGGGGAACUGCGUGUGAUACUGGAUGGCUUGGAUUUGGGAGAGGGAUGCGGAAUUCCAGGUGUAGCGGUGAAAUGCGUAGAUAUCUGGAGGAACACCGGUGGCGAAGGCGGCAUCCUGGACCAAUAUUGACGCUGAGGAGCGAAAGCUAGGGGAGCAAACGGG